GCCGGUGGCUUGGCGCGAGGUCCACCCUCAUCAAGUGGCGCCUUGAGGGUUCGAUUCCCUCCACCGGCA
rnacentral:tRNA from 1 species